rnacentral:rRNA from 1 species
AUUGAACGCUGGCGGCAUGCCUUACACAUGCAAGUCGAACGGUAACAGGUCUUCGGAUUCUGACGAGUGGCGCACGGGUGAGUAAUACAUCGGAACGUGCCCGAUCGUGGGGGAUAACGAGGCGAAAGCUUUGCUAAUACCGCAUACGAUCUACGGAUGAAAGCGGGGGAUCUUCGGACCUCGCGCGGACGGAGCGGCCGAUGGCAGAUUAGGUAGUUGGUGGGAUAAAAGCUUACCAAGCCGACGAUCUGUAGCUGGUCUGAGAGGAUGAUCAGCCACACUGGGACUGAGACACGGCCCAGACUCCUACGGGAGGCAGCAGUGGGGAAUUUUGGACAAUGGGCGAAAGCCUGAUCCAGCCAUGCCGCGUGCAGGAUGAAGGCCUUCGGGUUGUAAACUGCUUUUGUACGGAACGAAAAGCCUCUUUCUAAUAAAGAGGGGUCAUGACGGUACCGUAAGAAUAAGCACCGGCUAACUACGUG